rnacentral:rRNA from 1 species
AUUGAACGCUGGCGGCAUGCCUUACACAUGCAAGUCGAACGGCAGCACGGACUUCGGUCUGGUGGCGAGUGGCGAACGGGUGAGUAAUGCAUCGGAACGUACCCGGUAGUGGGGGAUAACUACCCGAAAGGGUGGCUAAUACCGCAUAUACUGUGCGCAGGAAAGCAGGGGACCUUCGGGCCUUGUGCUACCGGAGCGGCCGAUGUCAGAUUAGGUAGUUGGUGGGGUAACGGCCUACCAAGCCUGCGAUCUGCAGCGGGUCUGAGAGGAUGAUCCGCCACACUGGGACUGAGACACGGCCCAGACUCCUACGGGAGGCAGCAGUGGGGAAUUUUGGACAAUGGGCGCAAGCCUGAUCCAGCCAUGCCGCGUGAGUGAAGAAGGCC